GACGAACCGUGCGAACGUUGUUCGGAAUCACUGGGCUUAAAGGGCGCGUAGGCGGGCUGCCAAGUCUGGGGUGAAAUCCCACGGCUCAACCGUGGAACUGCCUCGGAUACUGGCGGCCUCGAGGGAGGUAGGGGCGUGCGGAACUGUGGGUGGAGCGGUGAAAUGCGUUGAUAUCCACAGGAACUCCGGUGGCGAAGGCGGCACGCUGGACCUCUUCUGACGCUGAGGAGCGAAAGCGUGGGGAGCGAACAGG
rnacentral:rRNA from 1 species